GACCCCCCGUGCCUGGCGCCGCGUCUCGGGUGCGCGCGAACGAGCCGAUGCGCCCCCGUCCGAGGACCAGGCGGAGGCGGCUGGCCCCGUGGGCCCGCGGCGCGGCCUCGCCAGCGCCCCGGCGGGUUGCCUGGGGUCGGCCCCUCCACCGCCCUGCAGGAGAGCCCAACUGUUCUUUUUCCAGCUGUAAUCUGAGCGCCCCUGUAACUCCAGGUCUAGAAAAAUGUGAUUCUCGGAUGGUCCCAGGAGCAGCAGAAUAGCAUCAGCAUCACGGGGGAGCUGGCUGGAAAUGCAGACUCUCAGGCCCCGGCCCCGACCUGCUGAAUCCAGAUCUGCCUAUUGACAGCUUCCUCAGGUGACUCGGAUGCCUGUGAGGUUCGAGAAGCUUGGUCUAAGGCGUAGUUGACCACCCUACGCCCUUGAGCCAUGUCAUGCCCAUAAAUAAAGUUUCUGUAUCGGC